rnacentral:rRNA from 1 species
AACAGGAUUAGAUACCCUGGUAGUCCACGCCGUAAACGAUGUCGACUUGGAGGUUGUUCCCUUGAGGAGUGGCUUCCGGAGCUAACGCGUUAAGUCGACCGCUUGGGGAGUACGGCCGCAGGGUUAAAACUCAAAUGAAUUGACGGGGGCCCGCACAAGCGGUGGAGCAUGUGGUUUAAUUCGAUGCAACGCGAAGAACCUUACCUACUCUUGACAUCCACGGAAUUUGGCAGAGAUGCCUUAGUGCCUUCGGGAACCGUGAGACAGGUGCUGCAUGGCUGUCGUCAGCUCGUGUUGUGAAAUGUUGGGUUAAGUCCCGCAACGAGCGCAACCCUUAUCCUUUGUUGCCAGCGAUUCGGUCGGGAACUCAAAGGAGACUGCCGGUGAUAAACCGGAGGAAGGUGGGGAUGACGUCAAGUCAUCAUGGCCCUUACGAGUAGGGCUACACACGUGCUACAAUGGCGCAUACAAAGAGAAGCGACCUCGCGAGAGCAAGCGGACCUCACAAAGUGCGUCGUAGUCCGGAUCGGAGUCUGCAACUCGACUCCGUGAAGUCGGAAUCGCUAGUAAUCGUGGAUCAGAAUGCCACGGUGAAUACGUUCCCGGGCCUUGUACACACCGCCCGUCACACCAUGGGAGUGGGUUGCAAAAGAAGUAGGUAGCUUAACCUUCGGGAGGGCGCUUACCACUUUGUGAUUCAUGACUGGGGUGAAGUCGUAACAAGGUAACC